CAACUUUCAACAACGGAUCUCUUGGCUCUUGCAUCGAUGAAGAACGCAGCGAAAUGCGAUAAGUAAUGUGAAUUGCAGAAUUCCGUGAAUCAUCAAAUCUUUGAACGCAAAUUGCACUCUUUGGUAUUCCGAAGAGUAUGCUUGCUUGAGGGUUGGAUC
rnacentral:rRNA from 1 species